rnacentral:lncRNA from 1 species
UUAGACUGAGACUCAGAUCUGAUCGACAAGAAAACACCCAUGAUGAGACAAGAUGGCUUGGGGAAGGAGGCAGGAUUCCAGGCCCAGAGAACAGCCACUGCCAAGAUCUGGAGACAGGAAAUGUCUUGGUGUGUCCCGGGAUCAAGAGGAAGGCCAGUGUGGCAGGAGCAGAGGGAAUAACAAGGAGAGUGACAGAAGACAAGAUUCAUUCUGACUUUGACCAUGUGAUUUGCUUAGGCUGGUGGGACAUCAGUAAAGAGAGCAAGCAGAGGUUUGAUAAGGGCCUGCACACUGGGGACUUGCUGUCUUGGAUCUCUGCCCUGGGAUCUUCCCGAUGUGAAGAACCUCGGGAUGAAAGACCAAGCAAGGAGAAAGGUCCAGCCACAUCAGCUGUGCAGCCCCCCAGUACACAGCUGUACAUUCUUCGUUGUGGGUCCUUCUAGUUGUGGCACGUGGGACGCCACCUCAGCGUGGCUUGAUGAGCACUGCCAUGUCCGCGCCCAGGAUUCGAACCAAUGAAACACUGGGCCGCCUGCAGCGGAGCACGCGAACUUAACCACUCAGCCACGGGGCCAGCCCCUAAAAAACUGUUCUUAAGGAAAAAUAAAAUUCAAAAUCGAGUGAAAACAAACCUGAAAGCUAGAUGAAGAUACCUCAAAGAAACGCUGCCUAUGUCACUUUUCCAAGACAACUGACAACUGAAAUCUAUGAGCAACACUUUCUGGCUUGGAAAACCUUCCUAAAGUGUGCAGUUGGUGCACGUGGUCUGCCUCCUGUCACAGUACCCAUAAGGCAUUCACUCAAAGAUGAGGCAUUUGCCUUCGACUUCCUGGAGCUUUUCUGUGCAAUACGAUGAAGGCCAAGGCAGCAUGACUUUGCACCCUUUAUGCAGCAGGAAACGGCUGGUUUAAAACCUGUCUCUGGGUCAGCUCUCCUGUUCAGCUUUCUGUUCUUCAAUUGGCAGAAAAGGGGGGCUACUAGAGAAGCUGAG